rnacentral:rRNA from 1 species
UACGGAGGGUGCAAGCGUUAUCCGGAUUCACUGGGUUUAAAGGGUGCGUAGGUGGGCAGGUAAGUCCGUGGUGAAAUCUCUGAGCUUAACUCAGAAACUGCCGUGGAUACUAUUUGUCCUUGAAUGUUGUGGAGGUGAGCGGAAUAUGUCAUGUAGCGGUGAAAUGCUUAGAUAUGACAUAGAACACCAAUUGCGAAGGCAGCUCACUACACAAUUAUUGACGCUGAGGCACGAAAGCGUGGGGAUCAAACAGG